rnacentral:rRNA from 1 species
GUUGGUAGGGUAAUAGCCUACCAAGGCUUUGACGGGUAGGGGACCUGAGAGGGUGGCCCCCCACAAUGGAACUGAAACACGGUCCAUACACCUACGGGUGGCAGCAGUAGGGAAUAUUAGAAAUGGACGAAAGUCUGAUCUAGCGACACCGCGUGUGCGAAGAAGGCCUUCGGGUUGUAAAGCACUUUUUGGAAGGAAUAGGAAGGAAGGUACUUCCAGAAUAAGUCUCGGCUAACUACGUGCCAGCAGCCGCGGUAACACGUAGGAGGCAGACGUUAUCCGGAUUUACUGGGCGUAAAGCGCGUGUAGGUGGUUUUGUAAGUAGGGCGUGAAAGCUCCCGGCUCAACUGGGAGAGGCCGUUCUAAACUGCAGAACUAGAGGAUGGUAGAGGGAGGUGGAAUUCCAGGUGUAGCGGUGGAAUGCGCAGAUAUCUGGAGGAACACCAGUGGCGAAAGCGGCCUCCUGGACCAUUCCUGACACUCAGACGCGAAAGCUAGGGUAGCAAACGGGAUUAGAGACCCCGGUAGUCCUAGCCCUAAACGAUGUAGACUAGACGUCGGUGGUGUAAUAGCUGUCGGUGUCCAAGCUAACGCGAUAA